AUUGAACGCUGGCGGCAUGCCUUACACAUGCAAGUCGAACGGAGUCUUCGGACUUAGUGGCGGACGGGUGAGUGACACGUGGGAACGUACCUUUUGGUUCGGAACAACUCAGGGAAACUUGAGCUAAUACCGGAUGAGCCCUUAGGGGGAAAGAUUUAUCGCCGAAAGAGCGGCCCGCGUUAGAUUAGCUAGUUGGUGAGGUAAAGGCUCACCAAGGCUACGAUCUAUAGCUGGUCUGAGAGGAUGAUCAGCCACACUGGGACUGAGACACGGCCCAGACUCCUACGGGAGGCAGCAGUGGGGAAUCUUGCGCAAUGGGCGAAAGCCUGACGCAGCCAUGCCGCGUGAAUGAUGAAGGUCUUAGGAUUGUAAAAUUCUUUUACCAGGGACGAUAAUGACGGUACCUGGAGAAAAAGCCCCGGCUAACUUCGUGCCAGCCGCCGCCGUAAUAC
rnacentral:rRNA from 1 species